UGAGUGCGUUACCGACAGGUUUUAAAGCUGUGGUAAUAUUAAUAUAUCUAUCGAAUGCUCAGUUGUUAAUUGAGAACGGACCAGUGAGGUCACAUUUCGCAUCCUUUGUUCAAUUCACAAGUGAGUGGUCGCAUCGGCGAUUCUCGGGCUUCGAACAUGGAGGUCUUCCGGUUGCUGUUCCUCAUCGUGGCCUCUCUUCUUGCCGUCAUCUAUCUCACUCACGCAUCGGUCGUCGACAAGCCAAUCAAAUGCCCCGUCGACAAAGCCCCCCUGAAACUAGGCAAUGCCAUGAUAUGUGUGCCUAAAAACUACACGCUCCAGGAAGAAUGAAUUUAAUUAAUUUGAGUCUGAUAUGUGAUAUGAUAAUUAUAGGUGAAGUCGAUUAAGCUCUCUGUGGUAGUCAAUAAUGUACAGUAAUAAUAUUACAGAGUUGUAGACAUUUUUUUCCAUUUUUCUUUCACGAGGAAGUUAUAAUAUAACUUAGUACAUAGUUUCCUAUUUUUAAGUUUUAUACAUACUCUGUUAUGUGAUAAAUAAAUAUAUCAUAAGCAUUUUUAAAUAUAUGUAUAUGUAAAUAAUGUAAUUAUUUCGGUUAAGUUUAUAAUAAUUUGAGACUACAUAAUAAAAGCUUUAUAGGUAUAAGCAUCAUUAGUAAAAAGGUAAGUGAUGCAAAAAAGGGGGAGGCCUAUACCCAACAGUCAAUAUUGCUGCUCGAACCAUAUCUAUAGUACGUAUUGAUUUUUGGCAAAACUGGAAUUAAUGCAUAUUUUUAUAGAGAUCAGAGAAAAUCAAAUUUUUAAAAGUCAUCAUUGAUCAGAUAUAUAUCGGUCUUCGUUAUACAUUUAAUACUCAUUAGAAUAAAAUACAGUUUACAACGCAACGCAUACAUAUAUUUAGCAAUCACAAAUUCAAUACAUCACAAGGUAUCAUUACGAUUUUUUCAUUACAAUUUAGUAUCAUAUCAAUAAAUCUUUUACAAUUU